rnacentral:lncRNA from 1 species
CUAUCCCAGAAUUCCAGGAUCAUGCCCUGGGCCAAAGGCAGAGGCUCAACUGCUGAGCUACCCAGGCGUUCCAGAUUCCACUCUAUUAAGGGAAAUGAGAUGCACAGCUCCCCCUUUUGACGGUGGUGUGGCUGGUCUAGUGUGAGGGAGUCAAGUGCUCCACGGCUGGCAUAAGGCAGGCAGGGCCAGGACCCACAGAACUGUGGACCUCAGUAAAAGUUCUGACCUUCAGGCUAAAUGGGAUGGGAAGUCAUCGACAGGGUUUUAAGCAGUUGGAGGAGUAGGACUUGAAUGCAGUGUUGAGUGAAUUACAAGAGGGAAUGCAAGCUAGGAGGAACCUUCUGCAAAAAGGAGACCCGGCUCAAGGCGCAUGGUGCUGUUGGGGAAAGGCUGCUAGAAUGGAAAUGGGAACUUGAUGUGAGGAUCGGCACUAGGACAAGAUGAACCCAAUCUUAAAUUUUCUAAAUCUGCAGUAACUGCUAGCAGUACUAGUUACUGGUUUUCCUUAUUUGAGCACAUUAUCUCCAUCCGGGAAGAUUUUGAGUAUUGGUGAGGAAAUGUUCAAUUGAUGAGGCUGUGAAGCUGAUGGUCCAAAGCAAAGUGGAAGUACAUGACACACCUGUUUUUAAUCCUUAAGGCUUUUUUUUCUUCUUUUUUUUUUUUUUUUAACAUUUUACAUAUUUGAGGAAGGAGGAGAGCACAGAGGGAAAAGCAGACUCCUCAUUGGGCAGGGAACCCAAUGCAGGGCUCUGUUCCAGACCCUGGGAUCAUGGCCAGAGCUGCACACAAACGCUUAACGGACCCACCCAGAACUUCUGGUCACUUAAGUAAAACAUCUUCACAGUAGUCUUAAUAUUACAUUGACCAAGGCUUGUCCAGCUCCAGGAUUCUAUAGAAAUGCAUUUGUUUUACAUUCCUAGAAUCCCACGGAAUCAUUCAGAGCUGGAAAGAGUUUUAAUUCUUGUCCACGCCCCUGUUUUUGGAGCUAAGGAAAUAGGUUCACCUUGCCCAAGAUCACAGGAGCCUCCUAACAAGUUUGGAUUUGUUCCAGAGAGCUCAAAAUCCAGGCAGACCCUUCUACUUAACUUGAGCCUUGUUUUCAUCUGUAAAAUGGGGGAACACCUUUGUAGGAUGGUUGCAAGGAUUAAGGUUAAUUCACACAAGGCUCUGGUUUAGUCCUAGCCUUCUGUCCUAGGUGCAUAAUGAGGGUCAGCUAUCGUUGGCUACAGGGGCAAGAUGGAUCUUAGCAUACCAAAGACCCAGGUGCACAGGACUGUGUUAAACUCCGCAAGAGUACAAGUGGGCACUGGGAGACUAAACUGAAUUUUAGUUUGGACUCGUGGAAAGAGCCAUGCUGUAGGAUGUGGGGAGAUUUCCAUACACAUUAAUCUUCCACAGUAAAAGCACAGAGAAAAAAAAAAAAGUAAAAGCACAGAGAAAUCGCUUCUGGAACUGUAUAAGCACGUGAGUAAGCAAACUACCUCUACCACCGUAUAGAAAGGACAACUUACAGGAGGGAAGAAGGCCACAGAUAGAGGCUUUAGCCUGCUGCCACAACCAUCGGGAGAAGACAAGACUUGUGCCCCUUGGCUUCUCCCAGGGCCCCUGGGUGGAUAUAGGAGGCAAAGAUCAACACAGAAAAAAGUCUAAGCUCUUUCCUAUUAAGGUCUACAGAGAAGCUGGAAAGCAGACCUGAGUGUGUACCAGAGUUCCCUGGCUUGAGUGCGGUUCUUCCCUACCAUACAUAAUUGUGUAAAAGGUAUCUUACUGGAGGGUUGCUAAUAUAUUUCUACCUUGAGAAGAAACCAAGUAAAAAAAAAAAAAAAGAAAAG